GCGCCUUGCCAGCCCGCUCAGAAACUUAAAGGAAUUGACGGGGCCCGCACAAGCAGCGGAGCAUGUGGUUUAAUUCGAAGCAACGCGAAGAACCUUACCAAGACUUGACAUCCCCUGACAGCUGUUGAAAGGCAGUGUCUCUUCGGAGCAGGGAGACAGGUGGUGCAUGGUUGUCGUCAGCUCGUGUCGUGAGAUGUUGGGUUAAGUCCCGCAACGAGCGCAACCCUUAUCCUUAGUUACCAGCACGUAAAGGUGGGGACUCUAGGGAGACCGCCGGGGACGACUCGGAGGAAGGUGGGGACGACGUCAAAUCAUCAUGCCCCUUAUGUCUUGGGCUACACACGUGCUACAAUGGCCGCAACAGAGGGAAGCGAGAGCGCAAGCUGGAGCAAAACCCUAAAAAGCGGUCCCAGUUCGGAUUGUGGGCUGCAACCCGCCCACAUGAAGUCGGAGUUGCUAGUAAUCGCGAAUCAGCAUGUCGCGGUGAAUGCGUUCCCGGGCCUU
rnacentral:rRNA from 1 species